rnacentral:rRNA from 1 species
GAUGAACGCUGGCGGCGUGCCUAACACAUGCAAGUCGAACGGAAAGACGCCGUCCUUGUUCGUCUGACGUUAGCCGCGGACGUGAUACUAACGCGUGUAUCCUCUCCCUGUAAGUCUGGUAGCAUCACCGGAAUCCGGAGCUCAUACGAGAUAAUCUCCUGAACCGCAUGGUUCAAUAGUUUAUGACGGCUUUGCUGUCUCUUCUAGAUGCAUCCACGCCUCAUUAGCUAGUUGUUAAGGUACAGGCUUACCAAGGCGACGAUGCGUAGCCGACCUGAGAGGAGGAUCGGCCACACUGGAAGUGAGACACGGUCCAGACUCCUACGGGAGGCAGCAGUAGGGAAUCUUAGGCAAUGGGCGGAAGCCUGACGGAGCAACGCCGCGUGAGUGAUGAAGGCCUUCGGGUCGUAAAGAUCUUUUAUUGGGGAAGAACAGAUGUGUAAUUAGAUAUGCAGGUCUUGACGGUACCGAAUCAAGAAGCACCGGCUAACUACGUG